GACGAACGCUGGCGGCGUGCCUAAUACAUGCAAGUCGACCCUAGUGGUGAACGGGUGAGUAACACGUGCGCAACCUCCCCAUCAGAAGGGGCUAACACUUGGCAACAGGUGCUAAUACCGUAUACUGAUGUAUGGACCCGCGGUGCAUUAGCUAGUUGGUGAGGUAACGGCUCACCAAGGCCACGAUGCGUAGCGGACCUGAGAGGGUGAUCGGCCACACUGGUACUGAGACACGGCCCAAACUCCUACGGGAGGCAGCAGUAGGGAAUCUUCGGCAAUGGACGAAAGUCUGAUCGAGCAACGCCGCGUGAAUGAAGAAGGUUUUCGGAUCGUAAAACACUGUUGUUAGAGAAGCGGUAUCUGACCAGAAAGCAACGGCUAACUACGUGCCAGCAGCCGCGGUAAUUC
rnacentral:rRNA from 1 species